GCCCUUGGAAGGGAUGUAUUUAUUAGAUUAAAAACCAAUGCCCUUUGGGCUCCUUGGUGAAUCAUGAUAACUUCUCGAAUCGCAUGGCCUUGCGCCGGCGAUGGUUCAUUCAAAUUUCUUCCCUAUCAACUUUCGAUGUUUGGGUAUUGGCCAAACAUGGUCGCAACGGGUAACGGAGGGUUAGGGCUCGACCCCGGAGAAGGAGCCUGAGAAACGGCUACUACAUCCAAGGAAGGCAGCAGGCGCGCAAAUUACCCAAUCCCGACUCGGGGAGGUAGUGACAAUAAAUACUGAUACGAGGCUCUUUUGGGCCUUGUAAUUGGAAUGAGUACAAUUUAAAUCUCUUAACGAGGAACAAUUGGAGGGCAAGUCUGGUGCCAGCAGCCGCGGUAAUUCCAGCUCCAAUAGCGUAUAUUAAAGUUGUUGUGGUUAAAAAGCUCGUAGUUGAACCUUGGGCCUGGCUGGCCGGUCCGCCUCACCGCGUGUACUGGUCCGGCCGGGCCUUUCCCUCUGUGGAACCUCAUGCCCUUCACUGGGUGUGACGGGGAACCAGGACUUUUACAAGGGC
rnacentral:rRNA from 1 species